UACGUAGGGGGCAAGCGUUGUCCGGAUUUAUUGGGCGUAAAGAGCGUGUAGGCGGCCUGGUAGGUCAGCUGUGAAAACUCGAGGCUCAACCUCGAGAUGUCGGUUGAAACCACCUGGCUAGAGUCCGGAAGAGGAGAGUGGAAUUCCCGGUGUAGCGGUGAAAUGCGCAGAUAUCGGGAAGAACACCCGUGGCGAAGGCGGCUCUCUGGGACGGUACUGACGCUGAGACGCGAAAGCGUGGGGAGCAAACAGG
rnacentral:rRNA from 1 species